GAGCGGAUGAGGGGUGCUUGCAUCCCGAUUCAGCGGCGGACGGGUGAGUAAUGCCUAGGAAUCUGCCCGAUAGUGGGGGACAACGUUUCGAAAGGAACGCUAAUACCGCAUACGUCCUACGGGAGAAAGUGGGGGCUCUUCGGACCUCACGCUAUCGGAUGAGCCUAGGUCGGAUUAGCUAGUUGGUGGGGUAAAGGCUCACCAAGGCGACGAUCCGUAACUGGUCUGAGAGGAUGAUCAGUCACACUGGAACUGAGACACGGUCCAGACUCCUACGGGAGGCAGCAGUGGGGAAUAUUGGACAAUGGGCGAAAGCCUGAUCCAGCCAUGCCGCGUGUGUGAAGAAGGUCUUCGGAUUGUAAAGCACUUUAAGUUGGGAGGAAGGGCUGUAAGCGAAUACCUUGCAGUUUGACGUACCGACAG
rnacentral:rRNA from 1 species